GGGGAUGUAGCUCAGUGGUAGAGCACUUGCCUACCAUGUGUGAGGCCCCAGAUUUGAUCCCUAGCAUCUCUC
rnacentral:tRNA from 1 species